ensembl:lncRNA
CUUGCUAUCUGCACACUGAGCUCAAUAUGGUCUUCCAGUGAUGAUCGUGACAUUUUCAAAGUUAACGUGUUUAUCUCUGCUCCAGAGCAGGUUUGGUCUUCAGCAUAAUGUACCGCCAUCGUAGCCUUAAAAAUCCAGGAUUGAACCUGAUGUUACCUCGCUAACCCCAAAUCUUGCUUCACUGAACAGGCCUCAGUUUGCACUGGCAGGGAAGUCUUUUAGACCAAAUAAUACACCAAAGCAUUCAACACCAACCAAACUUCAGCUGUGAUGACACCAAAAUCAAGAUGAGAUUUUCAAUGGGACUCAUGUCUGGGGAUUGAGCUGGCCACUCUAAGACCGAGAUAUUGGGCUCCUCCACUCAUGCAUCCCUAAACCAUGAUACUGCCUCCACCAUGCUUGACAGUAGGUACUGUACAUGCGGAGAUAAUGCUUCGCCUGGCCUUCUGCAUACCCU